CGCUGAGUUUGAUCCUGGCUCAGGAUGAACGCUAGCGGCAGGCUUAACACAUGCAAGUCGAGGGGUAUAGUUCUUCGGAACUAGAGACCGGCGCACGGGUGCGUAACGCGUAUGCAAUCUACCUUUUACAGAGGGAUAGCCCAGAGAAAUUUGGAUUAAUACCUCAUAGUAUGUGAGAAUCGCAUGAUUUGAUUAUUAAAGUUCCAACGGUAAAAGAUGAGUAUGCGUCCCAUUAGCUAGAUGGUAAGGUAACGGCUUACCAUGGCGACGAUGGGUAGGGGUCCUGAGAGGGAGAUCCCCCGACACUGGUACUGAGACACGGACCAGACUCCUACGGGGAGGCAGCAGUGAGGAAUAUUGGACAAUGGGGCGCAAGCCUGAUCCCAGCCAUGCCGCGUGCAGGAUGACGGUCCUAUGGAUUGUAAACUGCUUUUU
rnacentral:rRNA from 1 species